rnacentral:rRNA from 1 species
GAGGAAUAUUGGUCAAUGGGCGAGAGCCUGAACCAGCCAAGUCGCGUGAAGGAAGACGGCCUUAUGGGUUGUAAACUUCUUUUGCAGGGGAAUAAAAAGGAGUACGUGUACUCUAUUGCAUGUACCCUGCGAAUAAGCAUCGGCUAACUCCGUGCCAGCAGCCGCGGUAAUACGGAGGAUGCGAGCGUUAUCCGGAUUUAUCGGGUUUAAAGGGUGCGCAGGCGGGCUUUUAAGUCAGCGGUGAAAUCUGGUCGCUUAACGAUCAAACUGCCGUUGAAACUGGGAGUCUUGAGUAUAGAUGAAGUAGGCGGAAUUCGUUGUGUAGCGGUGACAUGCUUAGAUAUAACGAGGAACUCCGAUCGCGUAGGCAGCUUACUAAACUAUAACUGACGUUCAAGCACGAAAGCGUGGGGAUCAAAC